GAUGAAGAACGUAGCGAAAUGCGAUAAGUAAUGUGAAUUGCAGAAUUCAGUGAUUCAUCGAAUCUUUGAACGCACAUUGCGCCCGCCAGUAUUCUGGCGGGCAUGCCUGUCUGAGCGUCAUUUCAACCCUCAUGCCCCUAGGGCGUGGUGUUGGGGAUCGGCCAAAGCCCGCGAGGGACGGCCGGCCCCUAAAUCUAGUGGCGGACCCGUCGUGGCCUCCUCUGCGAAGUAGUGAUAUUCCGCAUCGGAGAGCGACGAGCCCCUGCCGUUAAACCCCCAACUUUCCAAGGUUGACCUCAGAUCAGGUAGGAAUACCCGCUGAACUUAAGCAUAUCAAUAAGCGGAGGA
rnacentral:misc_RNA from 1 species